UACGAAGGGGGCUAGCGUUGUUCGGAAUUACUGGGCGUAAAGCGCGUGUAGGCGGGUCUUUAAGUCAGGGGUGAAAUGCCAGGGCUCAACCUUGGAACUGCCUUUGAUACUGGAGAUCUUGAGUCCGGGAGAGGUGAGUGGAAUUGCGAGUGUAGAGGUGAAAUUCGUAGAUAUUCGCAAGAACACCAGUGGCGAAGGCGGCUCACUGGCCCGGAACUGACGCUGAGACGCGAAGGCGUGGGGAGCAAACAGG
rnacentral:rRNA from 1 species